UCCUGGUUAGCUCAGUCGGUAAAGCAUGAGACUCUUAAUCUCAGGGUCAUGGAUUCUAGCUUCAUGUUAGGCA
rnacentral:tRNA from 1 species